GACGAACGCUGGCGGCGUGCUUAACACAUGCAAGUCGAACGGAAAGGCCCUGCUUUUGUGGGGUGCUCGAGUGGCGAACGGGUGAGUAACACGUGAGUAACCUGCCCUUGACUUUGGGAUAACUUCAGGAAACUGGGGCUAAUACCGGAUAGGAGCUCCUGCUGCAUGGUGGGGGUUGGAAAGUUUCGGCGGUUGGGGAUGGACUCGCGGCUUAUCAGCUUGUUGGUGGGGUAGUGGCUUACCAAGGCUUUGACGGGUAGCCGGCCUGAGAGGGUGACCGGCUACAUUGGGACUGAGAUGCGGCCCAGACUCCUACGGGAGGCAGCAGUGGGGAAUAUUGCACAAUGGGCGGAAGCCUGAUGCAGCAACGCCGCGUGCGGGAUGACGGCCUUCGGGUUGUAAACCGCUUUCGCCUGUGACGAAGCGUGAGUGACGGUAAUGGGUAAAGAAGCACCGGCUAACUACGUG
rnacentral:rRNA from 1 species